rnacentral:rRNA from 1 species
CAAUAGCGUAUAUUAAAGUUGUUGCGGUUAAAAGCUCGUAGUUGGGUUUCUGUCGGUGAGCGAAGGUCCGCCCUAGUGGUUGGUACACUUCGCGCCGCCGACAUCUUCCUGGGGAAUGUGUCUGCACUUCACUGUGUGGCGCGGGAACCAGGACGUUUACUUUGAGGAAAUUACAGUGCUUCAAGCAGGCUCACGCUCUCUGAAUACGUUAGCAUGGAAUAAUAGCAUCGGACCUCGAUCCAAAGCUGUUGGUUUCUUGGAUCUGGGUAAAGGUGAAUAGGGAUUGUUGGGGGCAUUCGUAUUUAACUGUCAGAGGUGAAAUUCUUGGAUUUGUUGAAGACGGACUACUGCGAAAGCAUCUGCCAAAGAUGUUCUCAUUGAUCAAGAACGAAAGUUAGGGGAUCGAAGAUGAUCAGAUACCAU